UUUAUUAAUAAAAGAUUUAUUAAUGAAUACAACCAAGUAAACAAUGAAUCACACUCAAGUCCCUAUUUCAAAAUCAUUACAUCCAAACAUAACACAAAAUUAACCAUAAUCAAUGGAGGUGUUAUAUUGAACACCUGUAUAAAAGUUAAGAUUUAAAAUGAAAAAUAUUUGUCAUGCGAUCAUGUUUUGUAACUUGAUCCUCCAGUAGAUUGACAAACCACGUAAACCUACAAAAAUUGACCAAGAAAAAAAAAAUUGAUGAUUGGAUAUCAUAAACCUUACAGG
rnacentral:misc_RNA from 1 species